rnacentral:ncRNA from 1 species
AAAAUUUAUUUUAAAUUUGAUAUUUAGUUUUUAUUUUAUAUUUAUAUAAGAUUUUUCUUAAUAAAUUUUAUUAUUUAAAAAAUAAUAAAUUUAAUUUAAUUAUAAUAUAUAUAUAUUUUUAAUUUAAUGAAAUUUAAAUAAAGAAAAUUAAAUUUAUUAUUGUUAAAAUUUUGUGCCAGCAAUCGCGGUUAAACAUAAAAUAAUUAAAUAUUAUUAUUAAUAAUAAAUAAUCUUAUAAUUAAUUAAUAUAAUUUAUAUUUAUAUUUAAAAGUAAAAUUUAUAAUUUAAAUAAAAAUUUAUUUUUAAUUAUUUAUUUAAUUUUAAAAAAUUUAUUUAAAACUAGGAUUAGAUACCCUAUUAUAAAAUCAUAAAAAGAAAAAUAAAAUAUUAAAAGUUAAAUACUUAAAAUUUAAUAAAUAUGGCAGUAUUUUAAUCAAUUUAGAGGAAUUUGUUUAUUAAUUGAUAAUACACAAUUAACUUUACUUAUUUAUAUUUGUAUAUCGUUGUUAUAAAUUUAUUUUUUAUAAAAUAAAAUAUUUUAAAAUUAAAAUUAUAAAUUAUAUCAAAUCAAGAUACAGUAUUAAUAAGAAUAUUAUGAAUUACAUUAAUUUAAAUAAUUUUGGAUAAUUUUAUGAAAAAUAAUUUGAAAUUGGAUUUAAAAGUAAUUAGAUUAAAUUAAAUUUAAUGAUUUAAGUUUUAAAAUAAGUACAUAUUGCCCGUCACUUUUAAUUAAUAAAAUUUAUUAUAUUUAUUUUUAAUAAAUUUUAUUAAAUUAAAAUAAGUCGUAACAAAGUAAAUGUACUGGAAAGUGUAUUUAGAAA